rnacentral:rRNA from 1 species
AAGUCGAGCGGAAAACGAGUUAUCUGAAACCUUCGGGGGACGAUAACGGCGUUCGAGCGGCGGACGGGUGAGUAAAUGCCCUAAGGAAAAUUUGGCCCUUUGAUGUUGGGGGGAUAACCCAUUGGGAAACGAUGGGCUAAUACCGCAUAAUGCCUACGGGCCAAAGAGGGGGACCUUCGGGCCUCUCGCGUCAAGAUAUGCCUAGGUGGGAUUAGCUAGUUGGUGAGGUAAUGGCUCACCAAGGCGACGAUCCCUAGCUGGUCUGAGAGGAUGAUCAGCCACACUGGGAACUGAGACACGGUCCAGACUCCUACGGGAGGCAGCAGUGGGGAACAUUGCACAAUGGGCGAAAGCCUGAUGCAGCCAUGCCGCGUGUAUGAAGAAGGCCUUCGGGUUGUAAAGUACUUUCAGUUGUGAGGAAGGGGGUGUCGUUAAUAGCGGCAUCUCUUGACGUUAGCAACAGAAGAAGCACCGGCUAACUCCGUG